rnacentral:rRNA from 1 species
AUUGAACGCUGGCGGCAGGCCUAACACAUGCAAGUCGAACGAGUGGCGGACGGGUGAGUAAUGUCUGGGAAACUGCCUGAUGGAGGGGGAUAACUACUGGAAACGGUAGCUAAUACCGCAUACCAUCAGAUGUGCCCAGAUGGGAUUAGCUAGUGGGUGGGGUAUUGGCUCACAAAGGCGACGAUCCCUAGCUGGUCUGAGAGGAUGACCGGCAACACUGGAACUGAGACACGGUCCAGACUCCUCCGGGAGGCAGCAGUGGGGAAUAUUGCACAAUGGGCGCAAGCCUGAUGCAGCCAUGCCGCGUGUGUGAAGAAGGCCUUCGGGUUGUAAAGUACUUUCAGCGAGGAGGCGUUACCCGCAGAAGAAGCACCGGCUAACUCCGUGCCAGCAGCCGCGGUAAUUC